rnacentral:rRNA from 1 species
UACGUAGGGUGCGAGCGUUGUCCGGAAUUAUUGGGCGUAAAGAGCUCGUAGGCGGUUGGUCACGUCGGGAGUGAAAACUCAGGGCUCAACCCUGAGCGUGCUUCCGAUACGGGCCGACUAGAGGUAUGCAGGGGAGAACGGAAUUCCUGGUGUAGCGGUGGAAUGCGCAGAUAUCAGGAGGAACACCGGUGGCGAAGGCGGUUCUCUGGGCAUUACCUGACGCUGAGGAGCGAAAGCAUGGGGAGCGAACAGG